AUUGAACGCUAGCGGCAUGCUUAACACAUGCAAGUCGAACGGUAACAGGCCUAGCUUGCUAGGCGCUGACGAGUGGCGGACGGGUGAGUAACGCGUAGGAAUCUACCUUGUAGAGGGAAAUAACCUGGGGAAACUCAGGCUAAUACCGCAUAAGCCCUAAGGGGGAAAGCAGGGCACUGUAACAGGCCUUGCACUAUGAGAUGAGCCUAGGUCGGAUUAGCUAGUUGGGAGGGUAAAGGCCUACCAAGGCGAAGAUCUGUAGCUGGUCUGAGAGUACGACCAGCCACACUGGGACUGAGACACGGCCCAGACUCCUACGGGAGGCAGCAGUGGGGAAUAUUGGACAAUGGGCGCAAGCCUGAUCCAGCAAUGCCGCGUGUGUGAAGAAGGCCUGCGGGUUGUAAAGCACUUUCAGUGGGGAGGAACGUUUUUAGCACUAAUACUGCUAAGAGGUGACGCUACCCAAAGAAGAAGCACCGGCUAACUCUGUGCCAGCAGCCGCGGUAA
rnacentral:rRNA from 1 species